CCAUGCCCAACCAAAGAUGUUUAUGUUUUGUCUUGAAACAGGGCCUCAUGACUUAGCCCAGACCCACCUCCAAUUCGUGAUCCUCCUGCCUCAGCCUCACUGGGACUAUAGAUGUCAUGAGGGGGAUCAGUGCGGCUGUCAGGUCACAGAAUGGAACUUCAAAGACCCUGAAACAAGAGAAACCAUUUCUCUUGUUUUUCUCAAGUAUUUUUUCCUAGUGACGAAAAGCCGACUGGCAUCCACGGACCAUUUGCCAUGUUUGGGAUAUUUAUAAAAAUUAGUUCCCUGGCCUCCCUUUAGAACUAUGAAGACAGAAGCCUUGAGGCAAGGAACAGCCUUUAAA